rnacentral:tRNA from 1 species
GGGGCGUUAGCUCAGCCUGGUCAGAGCAGUGGGCUUUUAACCCAUGUGUCGCAGGUUCGAAUCCUGCACGCCCCA